GGGACCCCUCUUCUAUAAGGGACAUACACGAGAUCACCGAAAACUCCCACUUUCUCCCAUUGUUCCUAUGAGUUUGUGAAUGCUCUCUGGAGCCCCAGAAGAUAAAAGAAUAAGUAACUAUGACAGUCAUUUGUAACAAUCGUCUCUUUCCCAAUACACUACCAGCAAGCCGACCCACACCGCCUCCAGUCUUAGUGCCUUCCCGGUCACGCCCUCCCUUCUCCUGAAGGGGGCGGAAUCUCUAAUCCACCCAAGACCCGGUUCCUCGAUUCCCAUCGUUACGACCGAGGAGAAAAGAGAGUAAAUUUUCCUAUUAUAGCCUUCUCUCGCACCUUCCCCGCUUCCCACCAGCCGUCUCCACUGUCCUCACCGUCCCCAUCCUCAUCCAUGGCGAAAUCUUCGCCCCCAGCCUCGUGAAGAUCUAGCACGUCCGCCAUCUCGCCUUCGAUCGAGAUCUCGUCUGUGCCGCUCAGACACUAGAUGCUGUUGACUGGGGCAAAGAAUAAUGGGAGAAAAACAGCUGGGUCCUAAAUAACAGAGGGAAACCAACUUUCAAUAAAGUAUUCAACAAC
rnacentral:antisense_RNA from 1 species